rnacentral:rRNA from 1 species
AUAGCCCAGGGAAACUUGGAUUAAUACCCCAUGGUAUCGCAAGAUUAAACGGUGGCCAGCAAUGGCUGUCGCUGCAGGAUUGGUUCGCGCCCUAUCAGCUUGUUGGCGAGGUAACGGCUCACCAAGGCUACGACGGGUACCUGGUCUGAGAGGACGAUCAGGCACACUGGAACUGAGACACGGUCCAGACACCUACGGGUGGCAGCAGUCGAGAAUAAUUCACAAUGGGGGCAACCCUGAUGGUGCAACGCCGCGUGGAGGAUGACGGUCUUCGGAUUGUAAACUCCUGUCAUCCGGGAGCAAGACCUGACGGUAAAUAGCCGGCAGGGUUGAUAGUACCGGAAGAGGAAGGGACGGCUAACUUCGUGCCAGCAGCCGCGGUAAUACGAAGGUCCCGAGCGUUGUUCGGAAUCACUGGGCGUAAAGGGAGCGUAGGCGGCGUGGUAAGUCAGAUGUGAAAUCCCGGGGCUCAACCCCGGAACUGCAUCCGAUACUGCCGUGCUAGAGGAUUGGAGAGGUAGCUGGAAUUCACGGUGUAGCAGUGAAAUGCGUGGAUAUCGUGAGGAACACUCGUGGCGAAAGCGAGCUACUGGACAACUCCUGACGCUGAGGCUCGAAGCCAGGGUAGCG